CGGCGCUCGACCGUAGAGUGCGUGAGGUUGAAGUUGCAGCCGUAUCGCGAAAAGACUUCCCCUGCCAGCAUCAGGAGUAGCAGCGGCAACAGCAUCAGCUCGAACUGAGUGGCCGAGCGCGCCGUUAGUCGCCUUCAGUACGUCCGUGCCGCGUGAUUCACGAUUAGUACAUACUUGUGCGCAACAAUUUUAUUUGUUUUGGUGAACUGCACCUUACCAGUUGCGAGGAUACUGGAGUGAGGAUAAGCGAAUUCUAUCAUCAAUACGCCUUGUGGACGACGCUUCGUUGAAGUUAGAGUGUUCAGGCAAGAAGUUCCGGGAUAGCUGAAUCGCCAGAGACAAGAGGAGAUGAGCAGAGGUUUCAGCAAUUAAGAGAUGUAAAGGAUUGACAAUCAAAAUACUAUAAAAAAGGCAAAGCAAAGUAAAAAAGCAGAAACAAAAAAAUACUAAAUAAGUUAUCGAAUAACUGAUAGUCUUAGGAUUAUCAAGCUGUUAUGAAAAACGUUAGUAGCACACAAGAGAACAAGGAUGUUCAAGAUUCAUCGCAUAAAUUCGUCAGAGUUGGGUCAGAUCUUGGAAAAUUUUGCAGUUUUGGAAAAAAAGGAACAGGAGGAAGACGAAAUGCAAUCGAACGUAGCGUCUCCUUCAAUCAGGAUGUUGGAGUCAAGAGGAUUGGUUCCUGUUGCUCAUGCUGCUAUUGAUACAACACCGUUUUUGUGUUGAAUGCGAGCUAACGAAUUAAAAGUUUGUGUGCAGAGAGAAAAGCGCGAAAGGUAGGUGGAUGUGAGAGCACGAGUGGUCCGGAAAGCAAGAGAAGUAACAACCCCCUCCCCAGGCUUACUGUUUCUCUUGACCGAGGCAAUGGCAGAGAGAUAGCUCAUAA